AGAUUGAACUGAAGAGUUUGAUCCUGGCUCAGAUUGAACGCUGGCGGCAUGCCUUACACAUGCAAGUCGAACGGCAGCACGGGCUU
rnacentral:rRNA from 1 species